GGGGCUGACCGGAAUUGACUGGUUAGUACUGUAUAGGUUGGCACGUAGAGCGUUGGUAGGAGGCUCUUAAAUCUGAACUACUAUAAACUUCAAUUGGCGAAACAACUUUCGCUAUGGCAGCCUAAGACCAAGUCUUAGCCAGCCUUUGUUCGAUAGCACGGUUGGACUCGUCGCCAGCUAAAGAGCAUCAUCUCAGACGGGGAUCGCAUGUCCUAUCUACUUUGUAGGCCAUGUUAAAAACAGAAGUUAAGCGAUGUGUAGGAUGGACAAUUAUCCAGCAAAUCGUCGAAAACCCAAAAAUUGUCUAAACGUGUAGAAGGCUUAUGUAGGCUCUCGCAGGACCAGAGUUCGAAUCUCUGCAGCUCCACAA
rnacentral:tmRNA from 1 species